rnacentral:rRNA from 1 species
GACGAACGCUGGCGGCGUGCUUAACACAUGCAAGUCGAGCGAUGAAGCACCUUCGGGUGUGAAUUAGCGGCGAACGGGUGAGGAACACGUGAGAAAUCUGCCUUCAACUCUGGGAUAACUCCGUGAAAACGGGGCUAAUACCGGAUAUGAAACCUGCGGGCAUCCGCGGGUUUGGAAAGUUUUUCGGUUGAAGAUGAUCUCGCGGCCUAUCAGCUUGUUGGUGAGGUAAUGGCUAACCAAGGCGACGACGGGUAGCCGGCGUGAGAGGGCGACCGGCCACACUGGGACUGAGACACGGCCCAGACUCCUACGGGAGGCAGCAGUGGGGAAUAUUGGGCAAUGGAGGAAACUCUGACCCAGCGACGCCGCGUGCGGGAUGAAGGCCUUCGGGUUGUAAACCGCUUUCAGCAGGGAAGAAGCGAAAGUGACGGUACCUGCAGAAGAAGCACCGGCUAACUAUGUGCCAGCAGCCGCCGUAA